AGAGAGAGACAUGCGCGCAUAUCAAUAAGCGGAGGAAAAGAAACUAACAAGGAUUCCCCUAGUAACGGCGAGUGAAGCGGGAAGAGCUCAAAUUUGAAAUCUUAAAGGGUUUCCCUUUACGAAUUGUAGUUUAAAGAAGUGUUUUCUGUUGAGGUUUUGGUAAAAGUUCUUUGGAAUAGGACAUCAUAGAGGGUGAGAAUCCCGUAUUUGACCUUUACUUUCAACUUUGUGAUACACUUUCAAAGAGUCGGAUUGUUUGGGAAUGCAGUCCAAAAUGGGUGGUAAAUUUCAUCUAAAGCUAAAUAUUGGCGAGAGACCGAUAGCGAACAAGUACCGUGAGGGAAAGACUGAAAAGAACUUUGAAAAGAGAGUUAAACAGUACGUGAAAUUGUCAAAAGGGAAGCGUUUGACACCAGUGUUGUUUUUCUGAAAAUCAAUUAAAGAACUGUUUAUGCUAAGUUGUUUAGACUUUAUCAGCUAACUGUUUAGUCUUGAGCUUUUCUUUAAUGCACUUUUCAGUUAACAAGUCAACAUCAAUUUCUUUUGCUGUAAAAAAGCUUGAGGAAGGUGGCUUGAGAUUCGUCUUAAGUGUUUAUAGCCUCUUGCCUAUGCAGUCGGAGAGAUUGAGGUCUGCAGCGUAGAUCCUUCGGGGCUAAAUGCAUUUGUGCUAAGUUAUAGCAUUUUAUAGACAACUUGUUGACUAUGAUUUGUCUUGUAGCUUACUCGCUUAUGUUAUUUUACCUACGCUUAGGAUGUUGAGCGCAUGUCUCUCUC
rnacentral:rRNA from 1 species